rnacentral:rRNA from 1 species
UACAGGGGGUGCAAACGUUGCUCGGAAUUAUUGGGCGUGAAGCGCGCGUAGGCGGUCACCUAAGUCGAAUGUGAAAGCCCUCGGCUCAACCGGGGAAGUGCAUCCGAAACUGGGCGACUGGAGUACCAAAGAGGGUCGCGGAAUUCCCGGUGUAGAGGUGAAAUUCGUAGAUAUCGGGAGGAACACCGGCAGCGAAGGCGGCGACCUGGUUGGAUACUGACGCUGAGGCGCGAAAGCCAGGGGAGCAAACGGG